CAGAUCAUGUGACACUUAGAUUGCACACAGGUGGACUUUAUUUAACUAAUUAUGUGACUGAAGGUAAUUGGUUGCACCAGAUCUUAUUUAGGGGCUUCAUAGUAAAGAAUACAUAUGCACACACACCACUUUUCCGUUAUUUAGAUAUUUUUGAAACAAGUUUUUUAUUUUAUUUCACUUUACCAAUUUGGACUAUUUUCUUUGUUUGUCCAUUACAUGAAAUCCAAAUAAAAAUCCAUUUAAAUUACAGGUUGUAAAGCAACAAAAUAGGAAAAACGCCAAGGGGGAUGAAAUACUAUUGUCAGGCACUGUAUUUUCUCACACGUUUGCUGUGCCCCAAAUGGCGUGCAAUCCCCUACAUAGUGCAUUCUCUUUGGCAAGGGCCCACAGAAGUAGUGCACUACAUAGGGAAUGGGAUGCCUAGUCUCUCCACACAGCCUCUGUAUGUCCGGCAAGCCGGACUAUAGCUCACAGGAUGAAAUCACAAACAAUUUACCCAAACCUAUUUUAGUUAUAGCAUUAUUUCAUUUCAUGUUAGAAACUACGUGUCCUUUUUCAUAACUCCCUGUUGAUGCAUUCAUUAACCAAACCAUACAAUAUUAAUAACCAUAACGAGAGAGAGAGACUCGAUAACAACCUGGAUGUAUGUAAUAGUUUUACUAUUACAGAGGUUUCUAUACACUGAGCAGGGCCAUAGACAUGGGUUACAGUCCAGAUCACAUCCUGAUAUAUUCCCUAGGGACUGAGCAGGGCCAUAGACAUGGGUUACAGUCCAGAUCACAUCCUGAUAUAUUCCCUAGGGACUGAGCAGGGCCAUAGACAUGGGUUACAGUCCAAAUGGCAUCCUGAUAUAUUCCCUAGGGACUGAGCAGGGCCAUAGACAUGGGUUACAGUCCAGAUCACAUCCUGAUAUAUUCCCUGUAUAGUCAGAAGGAGUGGACUGUGUAGGGAAUAGGGACUGUGUAGGGAAUAGGGACUGUGUAGGGAAUAGGGACUGUGUAGGGAAUAGGGACUGUAUAGGGAAUAGGGACUGUGUAGGGAAUAGGGACUGUGUAGGGAAUAGGGACUGUGUAGGGAAUAGGGACUGUAUAGGGAAUAGGGACUGUGUAGGGAAUAUAUAACAUAAAACACUGGCUAACCACUGGUGUGGGGUUAAGACUCAGUGGAAAUGCAUCACCAUAGUACUAGACUAGUACUCAUAUUUAGUCAGUACUGCUGUAGUACUCUUAUACAGUACAGUUUAAGUCAGUACUGCUAUAGUACUCUUAUACAGUACAGUUUAAGUCAGUACUGCUAUAGUACUCUUAUACAGUACAGUUUAAGUCAGUACUGCUAUAGUACUCUUAUACAGUACAGUUUAAGUCAGUACUGCUAUAGUACUCUUAUACAGUACAGUUUAAGUCAGUACUGCUGUAGUACUCUUGUACAGUGCAGUUUAAGUCAGUACUGCUAUAGUACUCUUAUACAGUACAGUUUAAGUCAGUUCUGCUAUAGUACUCUCAUACAGUACAGUUAAAGUCAGUACUGCUAUAGUACUCUUAUACAGUACAGUUUUAAUGUGCAAUUAGCUGUAGCCCCUAACAUGGCGAUCAAUAAUCAAUAAUAUUACGAAGUUGGAUAAAAUAUUGAUCAUAUUUAUAAUUCGCAUUGACAUUGAUAAAUGGUGCUGGACUGUAAUUAAGGUUAUGAGGUACACUAGUGACUUUACAUUGAGCCCUGGUGAUGGGAGUCUGGUGGCAGAGUUAUGAGGUACACUAGUGACUUUACAUUGAGCCCUGGUGAUGGGAGUCUGGUGGCAGAGUUAUCAGGUACACUAGUGACUUUACAUUGAGCCCUGGUGAUGGGAGUCUGGUGGCAGAGUUAUCAGGUACGCUAGUGACUUUACAUUGAGCCCUGGUGAUGGGAGUGACUUUACAUUGAGCCCUGGUGAU
ensembl:lncRNA